AAGGGCUCGAAACACACUAAGAAUACCACCCCGACCGCCAGCCCCGUUCGGGCUGGAGGUGCCUCCUCCCGUCACCGCACCUAGGCAGUGCAUGCCUGCAAUGAAAAGAUGGCAAAUUCUUAUCGGCGGAAAAUCGAGUCCAAGUUGCUCGAAGAAACCAACCGGGAAGGAAAACCGAUUAAUAGUUUUGCUUUUAUUAUAAGCGAGUAGCUGAAGAGCGUUUUGUACCGUCCAGAUGUACACCGACACUAUCUCUAGCCAAAAUUCGAAAAAAGGAAAAUACGGUAAAUUUAAAUGGUCCAUGAGCGUGCCAGAUGACAGUGCCAAAGUAGCACUCCUACGAAAUGGGGCAUAAGCGAAGAAACUCUUUACCAAGUCCCCGAGUGUCCGUCGACUGUCGGAACUUAUCACCGAGCAAUAUCGGGAUCAUCACUUCGCGAUCGCGAAGUAUACGCGUGGGCCAACGUGCUCGAGACGGCUCGUAGGAGCCUCCUGGAUUUUUGUCGUCCCUUUAAAUUUGUUGUUGUGUCACGUCCGCAGGACUGGUUAUAGCCACCGCGCGUAGUGCACGUGAUGAAAGAAAACAAGGUGCAGUUCGCGGCCUGCUGCGGCGGGUUACAGGUUUCCCGAACGGUCCUACGCUAUCUUUCCCGAUUAAGCUUCGUGGCUCGCGGUUGCCUCGCCACAGAUGCGGAGAACAUCUCGGCUUCGAAUGAAGGUUUCUGCUUGUGAAGGCAGGGACAAACCGAGACCGGGGAGGGUAACGAGGUCAACGGGUGGGAAGCAGUGGGUGCAGAUCUAGGUUACCUGUAUAUUAUGCAACCAACACUACUGUAAUUUCAUGAUUGCGCGUGGUAACACAUGCCUACGUGCGCAGAGUGCGCAGCACGAAGUUGACGACGACGACGACGACAACGACGACUAGGAAAAUAAUUGUAAUGUAUUUCGAUGAUGCGACCGUUACAUAUUCCGUCGGCAACGGAAAUCCUCACGCGAAUCGAUCCUAUUACGAAAACUCCCGCGACGAUCCCUUAGCGGUUUCCAUCGGAGCGAGGAAAUCUACUCCGGAAUAUGACGAAGGAGAACGUAUAAUGAUCCAUAGUUGAAUUAUCUAAUCAGCGGUACGUUCUAGAAUUCAUCGAGUAUAUAUUCUCACAGCAGCUUCUACAGUCGAUUCGAUUGCUCCUUAGCAACAACGCCGACGAAGGCGAUCAUCAGCCGUAUCUCUUCAAUCUUUAACACGCUGCACAUAUCUUUACACAGUUAGGCUUCAUAUCUGAAACCUAUUAGCGUAUGCGUUCUCCUUCGUCGGGAUCUCGCUUGCCAGACGAAGAGGAGGCCUCCACACACUUUCGGCUCGGUAAUUAAAUUAUUUAUUCGACGGUCACAGGUGCCCCUGAUAUAUUUUCAUCGACGAAAACUCGGCGUUGCCAGGGGGUUUCGUACAGUGAAAGCAAUAACGCCGCGAAAGGAGGCCAGUGUUUUCGGAGUAUCUUAUACGUGUAUAUUUCUGUUCGCUACAAGCGCGUCUCCUGAUAUCGCGGAGGACUUACGUAAUGUGUAAAAGACAGGGGACAAGAGAGAGAUAGAGAGAGAGAGAGAGAGACCGAGCGCGUUUCCUAGCGCGUGCAGCCUUGCAGAGGGACAACGACAACGACGACGAUGACGGCGGUGCAACGCGCUGCACCUUCGGCCGCGGAUCGCCUAUAAGCGAACCUCGUAUUUAUAGGCACUCGCCACCAAGGCCGAUUCGCAAUUUUAACUCACGUGGACACGCGCGAGACCUCGGAUUUCUCGCGUGACGCGUCGUAUUUUUUUUUUUCCCUCCACGCCCUGAGAACGCUGAGCCAUUACUCGUAUCGACGCUUCGAAAGGACCUCCUAUUAAGCGUUUGCACAUUCGGCGCCAGGCGAUGGUGCCGUCGAGGUGAGGGAAAAGAGAGAGAAAAAAAAAACGUUAAUUGUACAAAGAGACGCGUCGAUUGUCAAUUAGGAGUCACAAACGGAAUCAAUAAGGCGCGCCGAGGCGUCGGAGCCUCCGCAUAUUCGUACAGCCACACAGCCAUUGUAAAGCCAUAAAAAUGCUGGUGUUACAUUAUUCAUGCAUACACGAAACUUUGUACUUUCGCGCGGAGACGCGCGCGAAUUUUUGCGAAUGUUUACACAAAUUCAUCUGAUAUUCCUCGAAUAUACGCGAGAUAACUCCAUACAUACAAGUUUAUUUUUCAAAGCAGAAGAUAAUUCGGACCUAGAAGCGGCGAGAGACAGAGAGCGAAAGGAAGAGAGAAGCUAACGGAUCUUUCAUCUUGCUCGAGUCCUGCCGAAUCCUCUUCUCCCUUUUGCGAGGUCGAAGCUCCACCUUGGGAUACGCGCGAGGAUCGAGGGAGCCAGACCAUGCACCGCGGGCGUCACCUUGAAUUUUUUUAGGUAGACUUCCAAAACAGCUGGGUUCAACGAACGGCUGUGAGACGACGCCCCCGUGUGUUGUUUUGACACGGCUCGCCCGGGGAGAGAAAGAGAGAUGCACGCUUCUCCCCGACUGCAUAGCCAUAAAAGCUCAAAGGGCUUAAGCAGACACUCGGCUGGACCUAGCGACGAGCUCCCGAAUUGUAAUUUAUUUAUCAAACAGCUGGAUGUACACGAUUACGAGUACGACUGCUAUUUGACUGCUAUCUCUCGGGCUUGGCUAUGAUACAUCAGAAACAAAGGAAUCGAGGUAUUUAAGCUAAAAGUUCUAGCUUAAAAACGCUCUCUGCUGUCCUACGCGAUAAAUGCACUGUUAAAAAUCGAACAGCAGAAUUCAAUGUAACGUAACGGAAGCCAAGAUACAUUAAAAACAUUUAAUGUAAAUUUAA